rnacentral:lncRNA from 1 species
CCUGGUUCAGCCGCCUCUGCCUGCGAGACGGUUCAAUUCCUGCGUGCGGACGUUUGUUUUGUUGGACCUUGACCUGACUAGGAAAUUUCCCUCUCUCAUUGCAGUUUCGGGCAUCCUCGUCCGGAGCACGCUGGGCGUGGCAUGGCUAAGGCUCAGCCUUCGAACUUUGUAUCAAAGGCGUGUGAGGAGCCAGAGUCCCAGGCCGGAAGUCAUAAGUGCGAAGGGGCGUUUCUCUGCACGGUGUGCUUAGUUUUUGUUAAUACUGCACCAUAAGCGGAAAAUAGACUCGGGAACUGAUUGAGGUUACUUUGAACGCACCAAGAUUUUUUUCCGGUCUCUGGUUUGUGUCUUAAUUUCCAUACUGUUAAUGUUUUAGGGAAACGUAAUAAUGGUGCAUUAUUGUCCUCGUUUUGUUUGAAAAUCAGAUCUUCACAUAAUUUUGGGUUGGGUAGUUGGGGUUCAGAGGAAAUUGGCAAGAGGGCUGGGGUUUUUCGGGGACGUCAGCGUUGCCAUUCCAAGCAUGCUGCCCAGAACUGCUGUAGAUGGGAAGAGAAAGCUGCUCUAAUGUGUCCGCAGCCCUCUCAAGUGCUACCAUAUAAUUCGCGUCUUGUUUGGCCUCAAGACAGUUGGCCUCACAAUAGAUAUAAGAUGUGGUUUAGUAGACACCUCGUCCAGUGGAUAGGAGGAUGCUCUCAUGGACUGGACACAUCAAGUUUUUAGCCUGUUUAAUUAAACCUAGAAAAAUUGUUACAUUUUAGAAAGUUUUUAUUGAUGAUAAAAUGUUCUCUGAACUCAUUUUCUUGCUUCUUUAAAUACGUAUCUGGUUUCAAUCUUAGCACUGCUACUUACUAAUGUUUAUUUUAUUUGGGUUUUAGUUGUUUUGUAAUCAGAAGCAUAGGAUAACAUUUGUCCCAAUGGUUUGCUUUCAGUGAAUGUUGGGAUGACCGAAUGACUUCCUAGUGAAAGCAUUUUCUUUUCUCCUUCCAACCCCUGAAAUUAGACAAAUGUAUUAAUGAAAUAAUCAUUAAAAUUCAACUAUAAAUGUUUACAGAAACUGGUACAUCUAUCCUAUGGAAUAUUUAGUAACAAAUAGGAACACAGUAUUGAUGAACACACCCUGAAAUGAAUCUGUAGGAAAUUAUGGUUAAAGAAAAAGCCAAUCUCAAAUGCUUAUAUACUGUGUAAUUCCAUUAUGUAACAUCUCAGAAUUGAUAAAUUUAUGUAAGUGGACAACAGAAUAAUUGAUUGCCAUGGGUCAGGGAAUGGAAAUCCUGCAUCUUGUCUAUAUUAAUGUCAGUAUUCUGGUUGUGAUAUUGCAAUAGUUUUGUAACAUGUCACCACUGGGGGAAACUAGAUUAAAGAUAUACACGGUCAUCUGUAUAUUAUUUCUUAAAACUGCAUGUGACACAAUUGUCUCAAUAUAAAAAGUUUGAUUAAAAAAAUGCAGCUAUAGACUUGACAGCACUUCCUAUAGACAUUCUAUAAACCGUUAUUAAAACUGAAUCUCACUUAAAAAUAAUUUUUUUAUAGUAAAUCUGUUCUCUCAGUUAAGGAUAUGAAUGAUCCUCAGAAGCAAUACAAAUGAAUAAGACAUUUAAAAACUUCACUAAGCAAAAUAAUGCAAAUUAAAAUGCAUGUUUUAGUCAUUUGUAUUGAUUCACUUGUCAAGUUAACAAAGCUUUACAGUUAGAAAUAUUCAGUAUUUGCAAGGAUACAAUGAAAUGGUACUAUUCUAAACUGCUGCAGAUAAUGAAACUCAUUCUGAGAAAUUAUUUGGAAAUACCAAGAGCCAGAAACAAACUAAAUGCUCAAAAAUUGAAGGAUGAUUAAAUUUGCUGGUGUAUUCUUGUUAUAUAGACAUAAUAAAUAUAUUUUUUAAAACAAUAUGGAAAAAUGCUUGCUGAAUAAUGUGUGAAAAAUCAGGAUAGAAAAUUAUAUGUAUGUUCCAAAUGAUGUUUAAAACAAAACAUAUACAUUCUUACAUUCUUUCUUACACGUGUUUCUUGAAAAUAAAGGCUGGAUGGUAAAUAUCAAAA